rnacentral:lncRNA from 1 species
CCAAUAGUGAUCCACACGAAAGUUGGCCAAGGUCCUUCCCAACCGAUACGCUGUGGCAGCUUUCUUUCACAAGAAUACUGUCAGCUUCAAACUUGAAGAAUGAUCACACUAAUGCUCAGUUGCCUUCGAUUUUGCUACUAGGAUCAUGCCAAGAGAAUUCUCUCCAGAAGUCUUACAACCUAGUAUUUGAUUUUGUACUCCAACAUAUGAAAAAAUUAAAUCCUAGGACAAGCUAGCAAUACUUGCUAUUUUUCUCACCACCCUUCUUACAAUUUUUUUCUCUCAAUUUUUCUUUAUCUUUUCUUUAGAUUUUUUUUCAAAUUUUUUCUCUCUUAUCACAUGCCAAAUAUCUCUAAUUUUCUAUCAAAAUCCAGCACCCAACCCAUAUGGGACGCCCCAUAUAAAUAGGUUAGGAAGAGAUGUGGAGAAGCCCCAAGGGGCACCAACUCUUGGUGCUCCACUUCUUCACAUGGAGAAUUAAUUCUCUGUAACAUUAAGUGGUGCAAAAGAGCCUUCACAUAGAAAGACUCCUCCUCUUCUGUGCCCCAUAAAUUUCAUCUUAAAAUCUGAAAUGUGAUAAUUAAGAAAAAAUAGAAAACCAAUGAGAUGGAUAAGAGUCUUCAUGAAGAAGGACUCUUCCACUUCUCAAUGCUAAAAAGGGUUGGCGGCAAUUAAUUUUUGGCAUGAAACCUAAUGAGCGUGGAGGUCUCCUUCCCCACAUUCAACACUUCAAAGUUGGAUAAGAGUCCAAUUAAAAUAGACCCAAUCCAAUCAGGUCAAAGGUAAUAGGUUCAGUUUAGCUCAAACACUUUGAACUUAACCUAAUUGGAAACUCGGGUUAACACUGUUGAAAAAUAUGUCCUAAAGUCAAUCAUCUAAGUGGUAGAUGAUUAGAAUUAGUAUAUAAAUUAUCUAAUAAUAAUAGUUAUUUGGCAGAUUCAUCAUAAAAGUUCUAUCUUC